rnacentral:lncRNA from 1 species
CACCGCAAGGCCUGCUGGGAUGGACGUCCCUUGGCAGAGUGCCCCCUAUGGGGCGAACAGGCCAGAUGGCUGCACUGGGUGCUGCAGUGAGCCCAGAGAGCACAGCAGAUCCAUUGGCGAUACUAACAGUGGCCGCUCAACUCACCCAGGGGCUGGAAUGGGACUUUCAAUGACACACACACGCACUCACACACGCACACACACACCUGGUCUAAAAGGAAGGAUGGGUCAGAGGAGGUCAGAAAACUUCUGGGGCGGAGAGAGAGUUGAAGUGGAGGUGAUUGGGGUUGCCCGACCCCCGGUUGGGGGAGAAGUAAAGAAAACACUCCUAAAAUUCAUAUGAAC